UCUGCCCUCUCGUAGUUUGCAGAAGCCCCUCCUUGAUUCCCGGCUGCUCACUUGGCACUUAGUCCCCAUACCGGAGGGAGGAGCGCAGUCAGCGCCGGCCAUGGUUGGACUUGAUAUGGGCUCUGCGCUGGCUGGUGGAGGCCCGGGACAAGCUUCUCACUGGAAAGUGGGGAUCAUCACAGCUCACAUAGGACCCCGGUGCGGACUGAGUGAGACAAAGCAGUGAGAGUUUCGGAGCUUAGUAAGCCUGUGCUUACCUCCUGACUUCCAGUAAAACCCAGGAAAGUGCAUGACACCGCUCCCCCCUCCUCUCUGUGCUUUAUUUGUUGUCCAACAAAGGAGGCCAGGCUCCUUAUUCCCCACAUUUCUGGAGGGCCCUGGACUUCCCAGGAGCUCUGGAGCAGGAAUUCUCUCCGUUUCUUCAUCUACAGAAUGGGGGCCCCUAAUGGGUGCCCCCCCCUCCCUGCUGCUCUCUUGAGCUUGCUGGACUUAGGUAGUUCCUCCCUCCCCGAAGGAGCGCUGGUAAGGGCUGUGGUGGUUAUUUAGAAAAGCUCUUCGCUUCGGGCGUGCCAGCGCCUGUGGAGGGCGGGCGUCGGGGUCCAGGAGCCACGGACCAGCGCCUCGAGAGCCCCCAGAGAGUCCAGAGGUGCCUGACUGACGUCCUUCCCCCAGGGAGCUGGUGUGAACAGAGGAGAGGACUGGAGCUCUGAGAUGUGGUGCUGAUGUUAUCCCCGUUCUACAGAGGUGGGAACUGAGGCUCAGAGAGG